GACGUAGGACGCGAGCGUUAUCCGGAGUUACUGGGUGUAAAGGGCGCGUAGGCGGCUUGACAAGUCAAAGGUGAAAUCCCUCGGCUCAACUGAGGAACUGCCUUUGAAACUGUCUGGCUUGAGGCCGGGAGGGGGUAGCGGAAUUCCCAGUGUAGCGGUGAAAUGCGUAGAUACUGGGAGGAACACCAGUGGCGAAGGCGGCUACCUGGACCGGUUCUGACGCUGAGGCGCGAAAGCGUGGGUAGCAAACAGG
rnacentral:rRNA from 1 species